rnacentral:rRNA from 1 species
UACAGAGGGGGCAAGCGUUGUUCGGAAUUACUGGGCGUAAGGGGCGCGUAGGCGGCCCGCUAAGUCGAACGUGAAAUCCCCGAGCUCAACUCGGGAACUGCGUCCGAUACUGGCGGGCUUGAAUCCGGGAGAGGGAUGCGGAAUUCCAGGUGUAGCGGUGAAAUGCGUAGAUAUCAGGAGGAACACCAAUGGCGAAGGCAGCUCGCUGGGACGGUACUGACGCUAAGGCGCGAAAGCGUGGGGAGCGAACAGG